GGAAGGGUGAUAGCUCAGUGGCAAAGGAUCUGCUUUGUAUGCAGAAAGUCCUAGGUUCAAUCCCUAGCAUCUCCA